rnacentral:rRNA from 1 species
GACGUAGGAUGCAAGCGUUGUCCGGAUUUAUUGGGCGUAAAGAGUUCGUAGGUGGUUUGUUAAGUCUGAUGUUAAAGACUGGGGCUCAACCUCGGAAAUGCAUUGGAUACUGGCAGACUUGAGUGUGGUAGAGGCAAUCGGAAUUCCAGGUGUAGCGGUGAAAUACGCAGAUAUCAGGAGGAACACCGGUGGCGAAGGCGGAUCUCUGGGCCAUUACUGACGCUGAGGCGCGAAAGCGUGGGGAGCGAUCCGG